rnacentral:lncRNA from 1 species
AGAGAGACCAGCUUCAUCUCCACUCGACCAACAUGAUGCAGGUUUUCUACUGGAAUGCCGAGUUAUUUCAGGACAAGGGGGAAGAGCUACAGGCCAGUCAACAACACCAGCUGCCCAUCCCAGCAGGAUCACUCUAAGGCAUCCCCUUUACCAUGCAUCACUUGGGGCUGAAUCCUUGUGCAUUUGCUGUCUGGAGAACUGAGUAACGAAAAUGCUGGGGCUGGGCCCAAGCCUGAUAUUCAAGCAGACCUUGAUAAAGCGGUACAUUUCUGUGCAAGCAAUCAUUCCAAUUGAUUGAAUAAAAACAUCCUGCAGGAUGUUUAUCAGGGAAAGAAAGCUUGGCUCUCACAAGGCAGAUUGCUCUGAGAAAUUGCCUUGCUUCAGGCUGGGUCCCUGCCAUGUGACAAUGGACACAGCGCUGAAGAACCAACUAUGAACAAGACAAAAGAUUGCUGCCCUCAUGGAACUUUCUGUCCAGAUGGAGAGACAGACAAUUAAACAGCUGACAACUGAAGACAGCCCAAGUGUUCAUCAACGAAAGAAU